UUUUGGCGAUAUGUGGUGUUACAACUCCGUAUCAGAUGCUUAUAAUAAAAAUCCUGUGUAUAAUUCUGUAAAUUAUUUCAACUAACUAAAUGUCUUAGUUUUUUUAGAUUGGUUCUCUUCAGUGUUGAUGACUGAUUGAUUUAAUUUAAUAGCAACUCGCAUUAAUGUCGAUUCGUACGUUCGAUGUGACUUCAUAUUAGCGCGAAAAGAGCGAUUGCAGGCGAAUUGUUACCUGAAGUGGUGCGAGGAGACUGACGUACGCAGCAUGUAAAUCAUGGUAAUUUUGUAUAAAGAAAUAAAUUUAUCGUUUUCUUGGACAAUUUUGAUCUUUUGUGUGACAUUAUUUGGAGAGAUCACAAGAACAGGAUAACGACUAAGGGCAUCCAUAUGUUUAAUCUGUUUACCUGGCCUGUGACAAACUUCAUAAUUAAAUUCUUCAAGCAUCAACGCCCAUCGAGCAAUUUUUGGAGGUUAUGGAACUAACGAACAGAGCGAAAAUAUUGCCUAUAAAUCAGCAAGAUUAAAUACAUAGAAGUUUGACAAUUCCUGCUUGCUUAGGGUUAAAUAUAUGCAGUUAACGCUCCACUUUUCAACAAGGCUUACUAUCUGAUCCACUCAGUGAUUGAGAAGAAAAGUUAUGUUGUAUAUGCAAAGAAAACAAGUAGUUUUCUGAAAAAUUAAAAAAAUAUAUUUAUUAUCGAUUUUUGUAAAAUAUAUAUCAUGCACAAUAUCAGCAUAUCUAAUAGAUACUUCUGCUUAACUUCACAGAUACUUAUGCUUUAACAUGAUAAAAACUUUUCAUCGGAUCUAACUUUUGUUCCAAAAGAUUUUCUAAAAAGUAUGCUUUAACGAGGCAUAUUCUAAAACUAGUGAAAGAAACGUCUAUCUGUGGAUCAUACAAUAUAAAAUAUUUUCUAAUCAAUGCACUCAAAUUUGGAAUAUAUGCAAGCUUACGAAAGAAUUCUGCAAAAUGUCUACUAAAGUCUUUUCUACGCAGGAAUAUGUAAUGCCACCAAUCUCAACGCAUAUUAAAGAGAAACCAUUUGUUUGUAAUGUGUGUGAUAAAGUUUAUCUCAAAGGAAUUUCAAAGACACAUUUAAGGACGCAUACGAAAGAGAAACCAUAUGUUUGUGAGAUUUGCAGUAAAACGUUUUCUGGAAGCGGAAAUUUGAAGAAACAUUUAAGGACUCAUACGAAAGAGAAACCGUAUGUUUGUGAGGUUUGCAGUAAAGCGUUUUCUG